GGAUUAGAAACCCGGGUAGUCCACGCCGUAAACGAUGGAUACUAGCUGUCCGGCCCCUUGUGGUCUGGGCGGCCAAGCGAAAGUGAUAAGUAUCCCACCUGGGGAGUACGUCCGCAAGGAUGAAACUCAAAGGAAUUGACGGGGGCCCGCACAAGCGGUGGAGCAUGUGGUUUAAUUCGAUGAUACGCGAGGAACCUUACCAGGGCUUGAACGCGGCCCGACGGGCCCGGAAACGGGCCUUCCCUCGGGCGGGCCGCGAGGUGCUGCAUGGUUGUCGUCAGCUCGUGCCGUGAGGUGUCAGGUUAAGUCCUAUAACGAGCGCAACCCCUGUUGCCAGUUGCCAGCAUGUAACGAUGGGGACUCUGGCAAGACUGCCGGUGCAAACCGCGAGGAA
rnacentral:rRNA from 1 species